rnacentral:tRNA from 1 species
UGUAGCUCAGUGGUAGAGCAUUUGCCUAGCAUAUACAAGGCCCUGGGUUCAAUUCCCAGCA